GCGACGGUGGUGUAGCGUAACACGCGCCCGUUCCACGGGUGUGCCGAAGGUGCAACUCCUUCCCGUCGCA
rnacentral:tRNA from 1 species